GGUUUGGAGCACUGCAAUUAUUGCAAAUGUUUGCAAUACUUUAAAACAAGAACGAUAAUGAAAUGUUUGCCUGCUGCAAGCCUGCAGAGUCCAGGGAGUGCCUUCUGCAGUUCUCAUUGAGGCAAUCUUGUAGGCUUACAUGACAUAUUUCUUGACAGAAGGUUGCAUCUUUCGAAAUGUUCCCACACCUGUUUCAUAUAAACUUCAUUAGUUUCUUUAACCCUAUUUUCCAUCGAAACGUCAAAAGUUAUUGAAAUGGAUGGCAGAUCGGAACUUACAAAUUCAUAUGUCACCUUUUGCUCAAUUGACGCGGGACUAUGACAAUUUUCCUCACCUAAUCUUGUAAUAUUUUCAUCGUGAGUUGGCUCGGUCCUACUAAACUCUCAUCGAUAUGCAAGUUCCACUGGAUCCUUGUAUCAGGGCUGUGAUUCAUACUAGAUCUGGCUCCGAUACCACUUCUCUCACCAGGGCUGUUAUAACGGUUGCAACUGUCAAUUAAUUUAGAAUUAUCUGGAAAAUACUUUUAAAUAUUAUUUACUAAAAUGCCACUGUCGGUGCGGAGGCCCACUUUGCAUAUUUGGAGGCGGAGGCCCAGUCGAAGACCGGCGGUGGAUGGUUGGUUUUUGGCGGGCGACGACGUGCCCCUCUCUUUCGCGGUUUCGCCUGCGAGCCCAACUCGUACCUUCUUCUUCUCACUGGAAGAAUUAGGGUCUCUCCUCCUCGGAUCGAUGGCUCGCAGAUUGAAUCUUUCUUAUUCUCACCAGAAGAAUUCGGGUUCUCCUCUUGGGAUCGAUCUCUCACAGAUUGAAUCGUUUCAGGGGCUUCUCUAAGGGUUCCUUCCGACAUGUUCAUUCAGGCCUUCCAAUACACAUAAUUGGUGUUAUUCAAUUUUGAUACCAAUGCUAGAGAUGGUGAUAUCUUGAGCCAUAUUGAUUCAUUUCUUGAAUCAUCAAAUCAGAGUCCACACACUAUCACCAUCGUACAAUAAAAUACUGGAAGCUUUUCAACUAUGCCAAGAUCUCAGUAGUUUACGGUUAAUCCUUCGAUCGCUCCAACCACCGACGCUGUUAUCGAGGGAGAGGGAAAAGACCAGCCGUUGAACGCCGCUGGCGGCACCCACCGCGAGCGAGCGAGCGAGCGAGCAUGUGACGUGCUGCGCCUGCCAGGCUUUCUCCCCCGCGGGAAUUUUCAUCAGUUGUCUUUUCAUAUUCUUUUGCCAGAGGCUUCACGGAUCGGCUUAUAUUGUGCUACUUUGAGGCACUUAAUUGAGGCCGGUUGGUUGUUGAUGUCGAUAACAGCCAACGGCAAAUUCUUGAUGUACCGUGCAGUAUGUUUUUACUAGUAUUUUUGGUCUCUUUGACCAUGCAUUCAU